rnacentral:rRNA from 1 species
AGUGAACGCUGGCGGUAGGCCUAACACAUGCAAGUCGAACGGCAGCACAGGAGAGCUUGCUCUCUGGGUGGCGAGUGGCGGACGGGUGAGGAAUACAUCGGAGUCUACUUUUUCGUGGGGGAUAACGUAGGGAAACUUACGCUAAUACCGCAUACGACCUACGGGUGAAAGCAGGGGACCUUCGGGCCUUGCGCGAUUGAAUGAGCCGAUGUCGGAUUAGCUAGUUGGCGGGGUAAAGGCCCACCAAGGCGACGAUCCGUAGCUGGUCUGAGAGGAUGAUCAGCCACACUGGAACGGAGACACGGUCCAGACUCCUACGGGAGGCAGCAGUGGGGAAUAUUGGACAAUGGGCGCAAGCCUGAUCCAGCCAUACCGCGUGGGUGAAGAAGGCCUUCGGGUUGUAAAGCCCUUUUGUUGGGAAAGAAAUCCAGCUGGCUAAUACCCGGUUGGGUUGACGGUACCUAAAGAAUAAGCACCGGCUAACUUCGUGCCAGCCGCCGCAGUAA